GGAGGGACCCGCGCGCGCUCCGCCCAGCCGAGGCCGCCCACGCCCUCCUCGCUGCCCGCGCCGGGUCCCUAGCGUGCCCUGCGGCCGCCGCGAUGAAGAUGUGGAGCUCGGAGCACGUGUUCGGCCACCCGUGGGACACGGUGAUCAAGGCCGCCAUGAGGAAGUACCCGAAUCCGAUGAACCCCUGUGUGGUGGGCGUGGACGUGCUGGAUCGCAGCGUGGAUGGCCGUGGGCGGUUGCACAGCCUGCGCCUGCUCAGUACGGAGUGGGGCCUGCCCAGCCUAGUGCGAGCGAUCUUGGGAACCAGUAGGACUUUGACAUACAUCAAAGAGCAUUCUGUGGUGGAUCCAGUGGCAAAGAAAAUGGAACUUUGUUCCACCAAUAUCACGCUCACAAACCUGGUGUCUGUUAAUGAGAGGCUGGUGUAUACGCCCCAUCCGGAGAACCCCGACAUGACUGUGCUCACUCAGGAAGCCACCAUCACCGUGAAGGGUAUUAGUUUUGGCAGCUAUCUGGAGAGCUUGAUGGCCAGUACGAUAUCAUCCAAUGCCAAGAAGGGGUGGGCUGCUAUUGAGUGGAUAAUUGAGAACUCUCAGAGUGCUGUGAGCUAACGGCAGCUGCAUCAGCCCGUGCGGUACACUGUGGUAACUACGGGGCAGGACGGUAGCAGGAUCUGUGUCGCUGGCGUGGGCUGUGGGCCGGGCGGAUGUGUGGGAGCUGCAUGUCGGCCUGCAGCCCCGGCUCCUUGGUGUCUGUCAGAUCUUUCACACCAACAAUCCAAGAAGAAAGGGAGAGGACGACGGAGGAAGCUCAGAGGGAGAGAAGAAAGCAGGCCAGCACAGCGAGUGGGCUGUCUUCCAGCAUCACCUAUCCUGUGGCCAGGGCCCUCACUGAGGCCCACACAGUGACAUUGCAGGGCAGGAGCCUAGCAGGGCGUAGGCGGCCCCCCCAGGCUCCAGGGCAUUCCACGGCAGGGCCAGGACAGGUACCACCGCCAGAGGAGGGCACUGCCCGCCCACUGAGCCUGUGCAGUGACCUGGCCCCUGCUCUGCCACCUGGACAGAUUGUUCCUGAACCUUUGUUGGCUCUGCCAAGCUCUUGGGAUUUUGCUGAAGGACGGCUCUGCCCCUUGGCCAGCCUUGUGUGCCCUGGUGCCCGACUCACCCCCUGCCUCACCCACGUGCUUCCUCCCUC